GCUCAUAUACUAAAACUGGAAUGAUACAGAGAAGACUAGCAUAGCCCCUGCACAAGGAUGACAUGCAAAUCUGUGAAGUGUUCCAUUAAAAA
rnacentral:snRNA from 1 species